ACCCAGCUGAUGAGUCCCAGAUAGGACGAGACGCGCAUCCUGAAU
rnacentral:hammerhead_ribozyme from 1 species